rnacentral:lncRNA from 1 species
AAAACCUUUCAGAUAAUAAGGACAUACUAUGUAGUUGUGCAUAUCAACGGGAAAUUGCGAUUCAAUUUUUUUUCUAGGAGUUACGCCCCUUUGAACUUAUUUACUUUAAUGUACUACUGCAACAGUUUGUCAUCGCAACUCCUCUCAAACCACACAACAGAAUUUCACGAAACCUUUUCAGAUAAUAAGGACAUACUAUGUAGUUGUGCAUAACGACGGGAAAUUGCGAUUCAAUUUUUUUUCUAGGAGUUACGCCCCUUUGAACUUAUUUACUUUAAUGUACUACUGCAACAGUUUGUCAUCGCAACUCCUCUCAAACCACACAACAGAAUUUCAUGAAACUUUGUAGAUAAUAAGGACAUACUAUGUAGAUGUGCAUAUCAACAGGAAAUUACGGUUCAAUUUUUUUUCUAGGAGUUAUGCCCCUUUGAACUUAUUUGCUUCAAUGUACUUCUGCAACAGUUUGUCAUCUCAACUCCUCUGAAAACACACAACAGAAUUUCAUGAAAUUUUGUAGAUAAUAAGGACAUACUAUGUAUAUUGACAGAAA